UGGGGGAUCGUCCAAUGGUAGGACAGCGGACUCUGACUCCGUUAAUCUAGGUUCGAAUCCUAGUCCCCCAGCCA
rnacentral:tRNA from 1 species